UCAGUUUAUAGUAGAAAAUUCAUCUUCAGUUUUUGAAAAUCUUGUAGAAAACAUGAGGAUGAAUUUUAUUACAGGGUCCAAUGCUGUCAUGUGAUCUGAUAAUCGUCCACUAGUGAGUCUGUGGGUGAUGCGUAUCAGGGCAGUAAUGACAUACUUAUCUUAGAGGCAAUUAUUAAGAAGUGACUCACAAAAGUGUUUAGAUUGGCCAUUUUUUAAUAUUUAAAAAAGCUUCCUCUGCCUGGUUAUUGUCGCUCUGUGCACAACACUACUGGUUAUUUAAGAAACAAGACAAAUAAGACUCAGUGAAUGUGCUGAUUCAGGUGCACACAAUCCCCUAUCUCAUUGCUGGUGUUGCUAAAGAGCAUCUGGGGUAAGGAAACAUGCAUCCGGUCCAUCCGUCAAGAGUCCAUGAGAAAGCCAACGAUGUUUUCACCUGCAGGAUGAAUUACAUCUUUGGUGAGUGUGGGAAGCUACAUAAUGAGACAGCUGAGUGGCUAACAUUUCUUUUUUCUUGCUCCUUCUGCACCUUCUUUUUGCACUACCUUCAUUUUUCCCACUUCCUCUCUCCUUUCCCCACCUUUAUACAAUCACCACAAGAUAACGGAGCAAAUGUGGCACAUCCAUCCAAGGAUGGGUUGACAUGGUUUACACAUUGCUUUCAUUUGGUUGUUCUUUGGAUGAAUUCUUCCUUGAGAACAAGAUAAUGAAAACCAUACGGUCAUUGAGCACACAAUCUGCCUUCACUUUGGCUGUUCCCUCGCAGCCCAUUUUAUUUUAUAAGCCUGGUCCCUGAGUUUACGCCAGUAGAAGAUCCCAAGCAGGUGAAGUCCUGCCCCCUGUGGGCUUGCGGAAUUCAGCAAACUCUGUCAAUUUAGCCCUUGCCUGUCACCCAUACAUCAGAGAACUUAUUUGAAUGGAACAUCUCUUGCUAGUCUGGUAAAGGUUUAGAAACUUGGCCUUCUAAGUAUUCAUGUAAGUUCUGUUCUGGGACCUUCGUUGUAGGAACUGAAAAUAAAAGAACCAAAAUAGGUAUCAACAGAUAAUUAAAAGAACAUUUGGAAGUUUUUUAACCUCAUGCAAACCUCAAACUCUGAACCACUGCCUAAAGGAAAUACUGAGUUAUGGUGAGUGAAGUUAAAUGUGUACUUUAUUUCUUGGAUGAGUUUUGACAAUGUAAAACAAAAUGAUAAGUUUUUAACUAUGGCAGCAAGUUCAGACAACAGGUGUGAGGGAAAAGAAUUAUUCAUUGAUUCAAAUUCCCAUACAAGUGAGUGAAAUGGCUAAAAGCAAUAAAAUUACAGAUGAGGUCUUUGGAAUUUAAACAAAAGAAGUUUAUUUUCACUUUCUAAUUUGUCGCUUGCUCUUAUAGACACCAAAGAAACAUCACAGAAAUAUUAAAUUAUUCUCUGAAAAUACAAAGGUAAAAGCUAUUGCGGUUUAAGACAGAAGAUAUUUUCUUUUAAAAUUGGCUAUGGUACUUCUACACUGAUAGAACUUAUGAAAAUAGCCAAUCUAUUAUGGCUAAUUUAAUUUUCUUUCCCAAAGAUACAUAAUUCAGAAUAAAAACUGUAAUCAAUGCCCAAAACACAAAUCUCAUACAUCUUGCUAAUGCUGGAGAAAAAGUGUCAAGUUCUUUUUCAGUAAAAUAUAUGCAGUACUUGUACUAUGUUUUGUUUUUAAUUCUCGGAAAUCCUUGUUAUUAAUCAAGCAAAACAAGCUUUUUAUAAUAUAGAAUUAUCCUUCCUCUGUAAGAGUAGAAACAAAGUAAUUAAAAGUAAAAUAUGAAAAGUGCUAUAAUUUAGUAAGAGAUGGAAAGAAAUCUAGAAUAAUUUUGUUCAAACUCAUAAUUUUAUGAUUGAAUAAACAAAAAUCCAGAGUGUUUAGGAGUUUGUUCAAAGUUCAAAACCUGGAAUCUAUAAAGUUGGAUAUCAGAAGUCAGCUCUAAAUAUAAGUUCAGUGCUAUUUUAACAAUCAGUAAAAUUUCUAAGAGCAAUAUAUUCCUGAGAUGGAACACAUCAGAAAAGACUAUAGAGAUUCUUUGAAUUUGGAAAGUUCUCACUAGGUAGAAAUUCCAAUAAAUAGAACAGAUUAAAUGGAACUCAUUCAUUUAGGUGGAGUUGGAAACCCCAGGGUCUCAUUUGUUAGCUCCUCUCACCCACUCCUUCUGAGGGCCCUCUGAAUACCUUGUAAAAACUCCAAGAGUUUCUUAGGACACUGUCUUAAAACCACCAAUAAUAUUCCCAGUUGUGGUGAGUAGACUCAAAAGUGGCUCCAAUGACCCUACAAAGUACCACAGACUGGGUGGCUGAAACAACAGACAUUUAUUUUCCGAUAAUUCUGGAGGUUAGAAGUUUGAGAUCAAGGUGUCAGCAGGGUUGGCUUCUGAGACCUCUCUCCUUGGCUUGUGGAUGGCCAUCUUCUCUCUGUGUCUUCACAUGGUCUUCCUUCUGGACUUAUCUGUCUCUUAAUUUCUUCUUAUAAAAGCACCCAUCGUUGCGUUAGGGCCUGCCCUAAUGACCCCAUUUUAACUUAUUAUCUGUUUAAAGACUUUAUGUCUGAGUUUGAUUAAGCUAAUAUAACAAAAUACCUUAGACUGGGUAAUUUAUAAACAUCAGAAACUUAUUGCUCAUAAUUCUAGACACCGGGAAGUCCAAAAUGAAGGCACCAGCAGAGUCAGUGUCUGGUAAGGGCUCACUCUGCUUCAAAGAUGAUGCCUUCUCAAGUGUCCUCACAAGGUGAAAGGGUGAGGCAUCUCUCUGGGGUCUUUUAUCAGGACAGCAAUCUCAUUCACAACAGCAGAGCCCUCGUGACCUAAUCAUCUCCCAAAGGUCCCACCCCCUAAUAUCAUCACCUUGGUGAUUAGGUUUCAAUAUAUGAAUGUUGUGGGUAUGCGAACAUUCAGACGAUAGUACCUUAUCUCCAAAUACAGUCACAUUCUGAGGUACAGUGGGCUUUGCCAUAUAAAUUUGUGGGUUGUGGGGAAGAGGGCAUUAUUCAGCUCCUAACACUCACCUUUCUGUAUUAUCCCAUUGUAUCAUACCCUCCCCUUGGGUGGGAAAUUUGACUUGAUUCUAAUCUAUAGAAUACGGCAAAGGUGAUAGGAGUCACUUCAUGAUUAUGUCACAUGAUAGAAUAACCUGUCUUGUUCUAGAGAUUUUCUGUCUCUCUUAUUGACUUUGAAAAAGUGAAGUGGCCAUGUUAGGAGUCCCAGAUGGUAAGGAGCUGAGGGAGGCCUCCAGGAAAUGGCCAGCAAGAAGCCGGCUCCCUCAGCCUUGUAGCUACAAGAAAAUGAAUUCUGCCAGCAAUCUGAGUGAACUUGGAAGCUGAUUCUUCCUCUGUCAAGCCUCCAGAUGAGAAUCCCAGUCACAGCCAACACCUUGACUGCAGUCCUUAGCAGAGGACUCUGCCAAGCUGUGCCAGGACUCCUGACCUGCAGACAUUGGGAGCUCCUGAAGAGUUAAAAACUCUGACAAGCUAAAGUGGGCUGACCUGGGAAAGAACUUGAAACCAAGUUUAACAAUAGAUUUUGUAUUAUCACCUUUGUAGUUAGUCAUGCUGCUGAAACCCCAAAUGCUCACCCAGAAGAGUUCCUUUGCAACGAAAGUCUAAGUGGGAUUGCACCUUCAACUGGCAUCACUCCACCUUACAGGAUCCUGAAAGCUUUCAAAUCCACCUCAAGCCCAGGCAGUGUCAAAGAAGGAGAGGAAUUGAAGAAGCAAAAAUAAAUAUUAAAGUACAUAAGAAUUAAAUAUUACCUUUUUAAAUAGCAAUUAUGCAGUUGAAAACAAAAUCAUCACACCUGUACAAGAAAAGGCAUGCAAGCCCAAAACAUCUGCUUGGAUCCACCUGCCAGGCACCUGUUUUGCUGUUUCAAUGCCAUUUGAUUGCUGGAGAUGUAGAGGCUCUUGUGAGGUAAUGAGCGAUUUUACAUUAUGCAUGAUUGAAAACAGGUGUUCUAAUGCUGCACAAUUCUAUGCAUGAAUAAUUCAGUUUGUUUAGAGCAAGAUCUUUAAAAGAAGUACUGCAUGGGCUGUAUUAUUUCUAUAAACACGAAGGUUAUUUUUUUUAAUGUAUGACGAUUGUUCCUUUGCAGCCAGCUUGUUUAUGGCAAUUUUUGUGUAAUUUUAUGGAUGAGGAAUAAUAUCCUGAAAGGUAAAAUUGAUCACACUUAAAAUAUGUAAGAAGUAAAAUUGAAAGGUCUGUUAGCAAGAGGAAAACAGUAUUAAAAUUCAAUGUUCUAAAUAAAAAUGCCUGAUUAUUUCCUU